rnacentral:rRNA from 1 species
CCUACGGGACGCAGCAGUGGGGGAUAUUGCACAAUGGGGGGAACCCUGAUGCAGCGACGCCGCGUGAGCGAUGAAGUAUUUCGGUAUGUAAAGCUCUAUCAGCAGGGAAGAAAAUGACGGUACCUGGCUAGGAAGCCCCGGCUAACUACGUGCCAGCAGCCGCGGUAAUACGUAGGGGGCAAGCGUUAUCCGGAUUUACUGGGUGUAAAGGGAGCGUAGACGGCUGUGCAAGUCUGAAGUGAAAGGCAAGGGCUCAACCUUUGGACUGCUUUGGAAACUGUGCAGCUAGAGUGUCGGAGAGGCAA